AAAGUCGUAACAAGGUUUCCGUAGGUGAACCUGCGGAAGGAUCAUUACUGAGACUGGGUGCUUCGGCGCCCGACCUCCAACCCCCUGUCUACCUUACCACUGUUGCCUCGGCGUUUCUGUCCACCCCUCCUCGCAGGGGGGUGGGGAGUGCGCCGGCGGCCAAAAACAAAAAACCCUUUUUUAAAUCAAGCAAUCUGAGAAAUUAUUUUAAUAACUUCAAAACUUUCAACAACGGAUCUCUUGGUUCUG
rnacentral:misc_RNA from 1 species